CCGCCGUGUGAACGCCCACCGGACACCGCACCACACUCUCCAACUCCUCCCGUCUCCCACCUCCAGCUUCACAUCUACCGAUUCCUUUAUGUAUCUCUCUCCAAAUCCCCUCGGCAAGCUCUGCAUCAGAUGAUUCAUCAAAGAUGGCCUCAUCGUCACCAUGAAUGAAGGAUUGCUCCUCCUGCAUUUGAACGAUCUCGCUCUCCUCAGAACUGCCAUUUGAUUCUCCGUCAAAGCUUGCGGCGUCUUCCGUGGAUUCAUCGGUCUCAUCGAUUCCGGAUUCACUCGGCCCUUGUCUCCCUCUUCAUACGCUAAAAUCGGUCAUCGAGGCCCAGGGAGGGAUGCUUUGAGAAAAAGAGGAGGAAAACUGGAUGAUGGGGGGAUUUUGAACUUUGAUGAUGUGUACAGAGAAGUGGAGCCGGCCAAUAUUAAUGCAAUAAGAUUGCAUGCUCUGACUGGAUAAAAACAUUCAGAAUUGGAGUGGGAAAAUCGUGCAAACACUUUAUUUUUUGUUGAAGAAGUCUGGAGGUUGAAGACUGAAGAAGAGUCUUCAACAGUAAGAACCAGUGACCUUUCUCCUUAAUUCCCUAAAUUCCACCUUAUUUUGAGUUCCACAACUCAAUCUAAGGCUCCUAAAGGAUACUAAGGAAGCUCUAGUGGUGGUUCACGACCAGAAGAAGGGAGAAUUGCAGUUGAAUUUUGAGUUUGAAGUAGAUCUUCAAAGUGUCUGUAGAGGUACAAGAGCCACCAGAGCAACAUCAAGAGAACCAAAGCAACAUCAAGAAGAACCAAAGCAACCUAGAGUUCAAAGUCGACGACGAGAAUCAACUUGAAAUUGAUGUCGUCCG